rnacentral:rRNA from 1 species
AUGCAGAUAAUAGUCCAGAACCAAGGCAACAAUGACAACAACAACAACUCGCCUCCAGUUGACAACUUAGCUCGUUUUCUGAGGUUACAGCCGCCGGUGUUCUCCAGUAGCACCGAGCCAAUAGUUGCGGAUGACUGGCUACGCAGGAUUGGAAUGGAGUUGACCACCGCUGGUUGCACAGAUGCAGAGAAGGUGCAUUUCGCCGCACAUCAUUUGGAUGGACCGGCAGCCUCAUGGUGGGAGAAUUACACAGCCACUUUCCCCAUAGCCAAUGUUACUUGGGACCAGUUUCAGCAAGCAUUCUGCACAACCCAUGUCUCAACUGGAGCUAUGAGCAUGAAGAAGCAUGAGUUUCACAACUUACGCCAAGGAAACUGUACUGUAGCUCAGUACGUGGAUGAGUUUAGUAAGCUAUCUCGUUAUGCCCCUGAUGAUGUGGCCACAGAUGCCACAAAGCAGGAGAAGUUUAUGGAAGGGCUUAAUGAUGAGAUGAGCAUGCAGUUGAUGGUGGCAACAUUUUCUAACUACCAGGAGUUGGUAGACAAGGCUCUUAUGAUGGAAGGGAAGCAGCAGCAGAUUGAGAGCCGCAAGAGGAAGUAUGGGCAAGGAAAGUACAAUUCUGGAGCUCAGCAGAAGCCUCGUCUAACCCCGAACUCGGGAGGACUUAUCCAUAACCAUGGACGCGACACUCACAAUGGAGGAAGUUCCCAUAAUCACAGUGGCCUCAGGAAUGGAAACGGGAAUGGAGCAGGCAUCAAUCAGAACCGUUCUAACCCAGCCACACCCGCCAAGAAGGACCAAAGUCACAUUACUUGUUUCAAGUGCAGGAAGACUGGACACUACGCCAAUGACUGUCCGGAAUUGAAGAACGGCAAUGGUAAUGGAAGCGCUGGGAAGAAGCCCAACCCUUUCAAUAGGGGACAAGUGAACCACGUGAACGUGGAGGAGGUUGAGGAGCAGCCUGAUGCAGUUAUCGGUAAGUUUUUGGUUAAGUAUUUUACCGCUCUUGUUCUUUUCGAUACUGGUGCAUCGCAUUCAUACAUAUUGAGGGGAUUUGUGGAUGAGUUUAAGUUGACAACCCAAGCCCUUAGGACGCCCCUGUUAGUAAGUUCACCUAGAGCAGAGUAUAUGGCCAGCCGAUGGUGCGACCGGAUACCCUUAACCAUUGGUAGCCAUGUUUUCCCGUCAGACCUAAUAAUUUUGGAGUCACAAGGAUUGGAUGUGAUAUUAGGCAUGGACUGGAUGCCGAAGUAUGGAGGAAGCAUUGAUUGUGCUAGUAAGUCAAUUCUGCUCACCACCCCGGAGGGAAAAAGGAUCAAGUAUGUAUCCAAGCAUUCGUCAAGGAGAACCCAAGUAAAUUCCCUCUCAGGAGUUGUUCAGGAGGAAGUGCCUGUUGUGAAGGAUUAUCCAGAUGUAUUUCCAGAGGAAUUACCCGGCAUGCCCCCAGAUCGGGACAUCGAGUUUUUAAUAGAACUGUUGCCAGUCACCAGACCGAUAUCGAAGCGACCAUACCGGAUGCCCGCAAAUGAUCUGGAGGAGAUUAAGAAGCAGAUUAAGAAGUUAUUAGAGAAAGGUUACAUCCGGCGAAGUUCAUCACCGUGGGGAGCCCCAGUGCUUUUGGUUGAGAAGAAGGAUGGAUCCUUAAGGAUGGUUGUUGAUUAUCGCGUACUAAAUGAGGUGACCAUCAAGAACAAGUACCCAUUGCCGAUGAUCAAUGAUUUGUUUGACCAGCUGCAAGGAGCUAAAGUGUUUUCAAAGAUUGAUCUGCGAUCAGGAUAUCACCAGCUGAAGAUUCAAGAGAAGGAUAUACCAAAAACAGCAUUCACCACAAGGUACGGGUUAUAUGAGUAUACGGUCAUGUCAUUUGGACUGACUAACGCCCCUGCCUAUUUCAUGAGUAUGAUGAAUAAGGUGUUCAUGGAAUUCUUGGAUAAAUUUGUGGUGGUGUUCAUUGAUGAUAUAAUGAUAUACUAG